GAGCGGCGGCUUCCGGGUCGGCUGCCCUGGAGACAGGCAUGACUUCUCUGCGGGCGUUCACUUGCAACGACCUCUUCCGCUUCAACAACAUCAACUUGGAUCCCCUGACGGAGACUUAUGGAAUUCCAUUUUACUUGCAGUACUUGGCUCACUGGCCAGAGUACUUCAUUGUGGCAGAAGCCCCCGGGGGAGAGCUGAUGG